UACGUAGGGUGCGAGCGUUGUCCGGAAUUACUGGGCGUAAAGAGCUCGUAGGUGGUUUGUCGCGUUGUUCGUGAAAACUCACAACUCAAUUGUGGGCGUGCGGGCGAUACGGGCAGACUGGAGUACUGCAGGGGAGACUGGAAUUCCUGGUGUAGCGGUGGAAUGCGCAGAUAUCAGGAGGAACACCGGUGGCGAAGGCGGGUUCUCUGGGCAUUACCUGACGUGAGAGCGACGAAGCGUGGGGAGCGAACCGGAUUAGA
rnacentral:rRNA from 1 species